GGCCCCAUCGUCUAUCGGUUAGGACAACAGGUUUUCAAUCUGUGAAGCCGGGUUCGACUCCCGGUGGGGUCA
rnacentral:tRNA from 1 species